CGUCCACACCCUCCUCCCCCUCCCAAAGCUUCUUAGUUUAAGAUAACAGCCUUUUGUUCUCCCCAUGACUCCCCACUCCUGGGGAGAGGGAAUGAGGAAACCUGUAGGGAAGUGCUGCCUAUCUGAAGGUGAGAGGACCCUACGGAAAAGUCAGAUGCCUCUUCAAAGACUUGCUUGACUCUCCUGACAAGAUGUGGGGUCCAGCCCAAGGCAGGGGCAGGUGAGGCCUCAGAGCGCAGUUACCAUUUACCCAGCUCACCUGUGGGACUCAAGCAAGUGAAACUGCCAGAGAAGAACCACAGUGCUUUCAAAGGCAUUCCCUCAGGUUCACGAUGCUGCCGCCAUCGAGAUCUGAUCGUAUCACUUGACUCCCCCACUGCCUACUUCUCAACUGUAACGUCUGUAUGGUUACCAUUGUAUGGUUUCUUCGUAACCUAACUCCUUUCCUGCACUUCUUCAUGCACUGCAGUCCCAGGAGAGUGAUGUCUGUCCAGUUUGUUGACACCUCUUUGCCUCCACUUCUCUUCUCUCCCAGUGUGGAUAAAGGGAAGGUUUCUGCGGCCGGGAUUCUCACCUGGCCCUGGUCGGCUAGCUCACUACACACAUGUGGGCAAUACAUUGCUACUGGCUCAAUAUAAAGAGCUCUGCCCAUUGCUUUUGGUGACAUGGUGGCACGGCUGAA